UUGGAUUGAUAAAUGAGAAAUUUGACAUUGAUCAUACAUAAAUUGUAAGAUAGAAGAGUUUGGGUAUGCCCUUUUCUUCUCCUAGUAUUGAGUUCACCUUGUUUCUUCUUGAGAGGUCUUUCUUAAAAAGUUUGUUCAAGAAGAAAGGAUAUAGGUUUAAACAUUUGUUUUUGUUUGGAAUGCAUCAUCAUCUUACUAUUGUUUAUCAAUAGGGGUGGUUCAUUUAUCAAAGAAGAAUAAAUGAUGUUGGAGUGAAAAUAAGUAUUACGGUAUGAGUCAAACUUCCUUUGACACAUCGGGAGAAGGACUCAUUUGAUUUCUUUGAGGCUUCUUCCAUAUCGGCUCCUAAAGGGGGGGAAGCCAGUUCCGGUACCGCAAAUAAGUACAUGCACCCAAGUGCAUGUAGAUCAUGACCGUGAACAUUUAGUCAUAGAGGCUCUUCACCUCAACCAAAAUUACCAGCCUAUAAGCAAUAUGCCGCCAGACCUGCUCUACAACUUUCGUGUGCGCCCUCAAAAUUCUAUCAAGGGCGAGGAGGGAAGCAAGGUCGAGGCAUUGGUCGGGGUAAUGGCAACGAGGAGCUAGGAUGAGAGAGAUUACAUCCCUUUGGCAUUAAGACGGUCAACCAUUGUUCCUCAAAAGAGGAAGGUUGAGUAAACCCCGAUAAAGAGCCGAAGCGACCUCCGGUUAAGAUGCCAGUAAAGCCGAUUGUUGUUCCCUCGACUCAGGAAGGGGACAAGGACCCCAAGAGCCUGCUACAUUGGCAAUUGGAAUGCAAAUAUGAAAACAAAAAAAUCUUAACCGAAAUAAAAGAGAAAGCAUAAAACCUUUUGUAGUUGAUUUUUCUUACAUGCAAUCCAAAUGACAAAAUAAUAAUAUGAAAGUAAUCAAAUGAACCCAAGAGUUCCCCCAAACGCUUCAGUAAGAGCAAAAAAUAUUUCCUUAAUGAAGUGCUCAGAGGAACUCUAGGGAACAUCUGAUGUUUGUAAUUUCCCAAUGCUUGAUAUAUGAAAUGUAUAUUGGUCUUACUAUUUAUAUCAACUUGUUAUUAGAUUUGUAAAAUAUAUUCUGGUUUGACCAAUAUAGAACCUAGCCGUGUUACUGGACUAGGUUAGAUAUAUUCAUGAACAGAACAACAGAUCUUCAGUAUUGAGAUUUGAGGGGUCAAUAUGCAUCUUUCCUUUAUCUAAUUUUUUGGAGGUUUAUGCUUAAGAAUAGUUGAGAUUUCUGACAAUUCUGAUGCUGUUUUUGUACUCCUAAGAUUGAAGCCUUUGCUUUUUCUUACACAUGCUUAUUUGCCACAUGCCUUU